ensembl:lncRNA
CACUUUGAUUUGUUUCUAUAAAACAUAUUUCGGGUUCAGUCAUGCCGCAUGAGAAAUACAUUUAGCUUCCCCUUCAGAAGUGAGUUGUCUUGCAUUAUGUAUUUCUAUUGUGAUACUUUAAAGAUCCCAGGAAGAAUUUUUUUGUGUUGUCUGCGAGUUUCCAAUAAACAUUUAGUUUAGUAACUUGUGAGGUCUUUAUUAGAACAAAACAAACAAAUAGACCCAAUUUACCAAUAGAUAAAUAUACAUUUGAAAUCAAAAGGUCAACAAAUAGAUCCAAAAAAUCUCAGGUAAAGGUAAAAAAAAAAGUUGGAUCUAGUAACUAAACUGACACAAAACAUACAAGAACAGGCUCCACCUACUGACAUGGAGACUAUAAAGCUGCUGUAUCAGCGGACGAUCAGCAGCUAAUCCGUGUUCAAAAUGAGAGGCCUAACAUUGCUCUGUCUGUGGGGAUUAUUUCUCACAGCAUCAACUGUGUGGCCACCAGGAGGUCAAACGCCCAUGAGCGGCCCCUUGUUUCUUAACAUCACAGCCAACACAUCAACGGAACAAGUGGAGCGCAGUUCAAAUAAUACAAGUUCAGAGGCGACAGCUACUGCACUGCCAGUUGAAAGUACUCAUGAGUUAACACCGCCUAAGGAUGGAGAGGACAGCCAGUUGCCUAAAGAACACCCGGUGCAGAACUUACAAGAAAAAAAAGCACAAAAGAAACCUACCCGGCGCAAUGGACGUUGGCACCCUCUUGUUAGCAACGUGGGUUUCCCUGCGAGCCCAGAAGACGGAGAAAAUACGAAGCCGUAA